UGGAUUGUAGUUCAGUGGUGGAGCGCUUACCUAGCAUGUGUGAGUCACUGGGUUCAAUUCUCAGCACUGCAU
rnacentral:tRNA from 1 species